rnacentral:rRNA from 1 species
UGGGGAAUAUUGGUCAAUGGGCGCAAGCCUGAUCCAGCAAUGCCGCGUGGGUGAAGAAGGCCUUCGGGUUGAAAGACCCUUUUGUUCGGGAAGCGGUACCGUAAGAAUAAGCACCGGCUAACUUCGUGCCAGCAGCCGCGGUAAUACGAAGGGUGCAAGCGUUAAUCGGAAUUACUGGGCGUAAAGCGUGCGUAGGUGGUUGGUUAAGUCUGUCGUGAAAGCCCUGGGCUCAACCUGGGAAUGGCGAUGGAUACUGGCCGACUAGAGUGCGGUAGAGGGUAGCGGAAUUUCCGGUGUAGCGGUGAAAUGCGUAGAGAUCGGAAGGAACAUCCGUGGCGAAGGCGGCUACCUGGACCAACUUGUACACUGAGG